GACGAACGCUGGCGGCGUGCCUAAUACAUGCAAGUCGAGCGGACAGAUGGGAGCUUGCUCCCUGAUGUUAGCGGCGGACGGGUGAGUAACACGUGGGUAACCUGCCUGUAAGACUGGGAUAACUCCGGGAAACCGGGGCUAAUACCGGAUGGUUGUUUGAACCGCAUGGUUCAAACAUAAAAGGUGGCUUCGGCUACCACUUACAGAUGGACCCGCGGCGCAUUAGCUAGUUGGUGAGGUAACGGCUCACCAAGGCGACGAUGCGUAGCCGACCUGAGAGGGUGAUCGGCCACACUGGGACUGAGACACGGCCCAGACUCCUACGGGAGGCAGCAGUAGGGAAUCUUCCGCAAUGGACGAAAGUCUGACGGAGCAACGCCGCGUGAGUGAUGAAGGUUUUCGGAUCGUAAAGCUCUGUUGUUAGGGAAGAACAAGUGCCGUUCGAAUAGGGCGGUACCUUGACGGUACCUAACCAGAAAGCCACGGCUAACUACGUGCCAGCAGCCGCGGUAAUACGUAGGUGGCAAGCGUUGUCCGGAAUUAUUGGGCGUAAAGGGCUCGCAGGCGGUUUCUUAAGUCUGAUGUGAAAGCCCCCGGCUCAACCGGGGAGGGUCAUUGGAAACUGGGGAACUUGAGUGCAGAAGAGGAGAGUGGAAUUCCACGUGUAGCGGUGAAAUGCGUAGAGAUGUGGAGGAACACCAGUGGCGAAGGCGACUCUCUGGUCUGUAACUGACGCUGAGGAGCGAAAGCGUGGGGAGCGAACAGGAUUAGAUACCCUGGUAGUCCACGCCGUAAACGAUGAGUGCUAAGUGUUAGGGGGUUUCCGCCC
rnacentral:rRNA from 1 species